GGCUGCGCUGCGAGCAGAGUGACACGGACGUGUGUGACGAGAGAGAAAGCUUCUGAGGACCCGGCCGACGGUCAGCGCUACAGCACUUGCCUGGUGUGGGCGAGGCCCAGGCCUCACCCCAGCAACAAAGGUACCGAGGACACAACAUUCAAUUUUGGCCUUAACCUGUCAGGAUGGAAAGCUUGGGUCAGCACCCUCAAGGACCAAUUAUUGUUACGUUGCUUGUCUUCAUGUUUGGUCCCUGCAUGGAAAAAUGGAGCAAGGGUUCAAAAUUAAAAGACACUGGAGGCAUUAACUGUAGAAUGGGACAGCUGGCCUCAUCCUGAGAUAAAGGCACGUCAAGACCCCGAGCUCCAAAGUUUUGAGAGCCACAUGAUUGUAAAAGUGUCGAGAUGCAAAGAGCAAUCGUUUAACUUUGCUUUUCUGACCUUGAACAUCCUCUUCC